GGCGUCCACAGAGGGGGGCAAGAGGGGUCAGUGCCCCCCCCUGGGACCAGCAGACUGACCAUCUGUUUAUUCGGGCAUUUGCCCUAGGGGCCGCUCUGUAUUUUUGUAAUGUGGGCCGCUCCUGAUCUAUAAUGUUCAUUUCAAACUGUGGGCUCUAGGACCGCUCCUCCGUCCCAGCUCCCACUGUGGCUCCGCCCCUUCCACUCGUCUCCGUUCUCAUGCUGUGCUGUGUGCAGGCCUGCCUGCCUGCCAUCAGGGGGGAACAAGGAAGAAAGUUUUGGGCCAGGCAGGAUUUAGGCUCAAAGGGGGAUUAGCCAGCCCCCCUUACGAGCGUGGACAUCACUGAUGCCGAAGACGGAAGUACAGGAACUGAUGUGGACACAAGAGAGAAUAGAGCCUUAGCAGCUUUUUCAGGGAGUGAAUCAACUAACAGGCCACUACAACAGCAGAAAAACUCCAGAGGGGUCUCCUCAAGAAACUCGGAAUGGACUUUUAAGAACAAAAAAAGACCCGAAACAACAGAAGAGUUAGAGGGGGACCCUAGGAGUCCAAAUUUCAGGCUACAGGAAAAGAGGAAGCGAUUCUAAACCUUUAAAAAAAAUCCUUUUAUCCUCUGAACUCUUUAUUUUAAGAAAAGGACUUUCAUCUGUUCCUACAGAUAAGUUUGACUUAUUUCAGACUGUUGUUGAUGUUAACAAUUUUGUUUUUCCCCUCAUACAAAUCAGAGCACUCCUCACUGCACUGCACUGCAUAUGCAAUGUUACUCUUCACCCAAAAUACCCAACCCCAAAGCACAAGAAGAGUAACAUUGUGUAUGCAGUGCAGUGCAGUGAGGAGUGCUCACUGCCAGGCCAUUGUGUGUUGGUAGAUUGAGUCUCAGACUCAUAUAUGGAGGCAUCUCUCUAGUGCCUUUUGAUCCUAUAUGAGUCCCUCCUUGAAUACGUUUCACCAGUCGGUAAUGCCCUAUACCUGUGCAAUAAAGGCAUUUUAAAUUUCAACAAGA